rnacentral:lncRNA from 1 species
UGGGAUUCUAGUGGUGAGAGGAACAGUCAAAGGCAACAAAGAUUAGACUGAGGAUAGAUCGAGGCUUACAGUCAAAGCAAGACACUGUCAUGGUCAAGUGUCUAGCUGGAGCUUUUUCUUGUGGUCCCCACUUGCUCUCUGCUUUUUCUCUUUUUUUUUUAAAUUUCGUUUUUUCCCUAAAUAUAGUACUAUUUACUUUACUUUUCUAUUUAUACAGCUCUAUUUUUUGUGUUCUAAUAAUAAUCCACCAAAUUAAGAAAUUAAUUUUAAGUUCUAUAAAAACUUGUGGAUGUUAGCAAGAAAUAAUUUAUUCAAAUGUUUUUUUAGCAUUAAUAUAAGUUAAUACUUCCUCAUUUUAAGUUUUUUUUCUUGUUACAUAAAAAGUGUUGUUUUAGAUUUCCAAUGUAAUUUUUAUUUACUUUCAGCUAAAUAUUAAUUAUAAAAUACAUUGAUCUAAUAAUAAAUUUAUUUAUCUUAAAUAUUAUUAGUCAAUUAGAUGUAAUUAAUAAGAACAAAAAUACGUUUUAAUUAUUUUUUUAAUAUGUGUGGAAAAUGUCU